rnacentral:rRNA from 1 species
GCACCCCAGUCAGGCGG